AUUGAACGCUGGCGGCAGGCCUAACACAUGCAAGUCGAACGAGUGGCGGACGGGUGAGUAAUGUCUGGGAAACUGCCUGAUGGAGGGGGAUAACUACUGGAAACGGUAGCUAAUACCGCAUACCAUCAGAUGUGCCCAGAUGGGAUUAGCGAGUUGGUGGGGUAACGGCUCACCAAGGCGACGAUCCCUAGCGGUUCUGAGAGGAUGACCAGCAACACUGGAACUGAGAAACGGUCCAGAGUCCUACGGGAGGCAGCAGGGGGGAAGAUUGCACAAGGGGCGAAAGCAUGAUGCAGACAGGCCGCGUGUAUGAAGAAGGCCUUCGGGUUGUAAAGUACUUUCAGCGGGGAGGCGUUACCCGAAGAAGAAGCACCGGCUAACUCCGUGCCAGCAGCCGCGGUAAUUC
rnacentral:rRNA from 1 species